rnacentral:lncRNA from 1 species
AGCCACACAGAUCUAUGCCUCAGAUUCUCCACCGAGUUUGCUAGCAGCUAUUAACACCGUUUUUGGUUCCCCGUUCUUGCCGAAGUUCUGAGAAGAUGGCAAGAAGCAGAGGGCCCUGGUCUAUCGUGUUACCACUGUUGCUGCUAAUGCUCCUUCAAUUACUCAUCAUCGUGCUCGCCCGUCCAAUUGAAACCCAUCCUGCACCGGCACCACCAAAUGGUUUUUGUAAGCAGUUCUAGAUCACAUGUCACAAGUUCAUGAUUUUCUACUUAUUUUUAGAUGACAAGUGCAUGAUUUUGAUCCGAUCAUAUUACUCCUUUUUGGUAUAACCUUUUCCACACAACUUUCCAACCCAAUACAAUGAAUAUGUGGUCAUGUUUUUUUUGUGUAGUCAAGUUUUCUUGUCAGCAUAUUAAAAGUGUCUUUUUUCUAACUUCGGCAAAGAAUUAAAUUGACUAGGUUUUAAAUCUACCUGAUAGAGUAAUGUUGAUUUUUUUUACUCCGUCACACAAAUCAAAACUCGAGUCGAUUUUGGAGUAUUAGUAACCACCUCACCGCUGAGGCGAUUAACAUAUAGCUACCUAUCUUACCCUGUUUUUUGGAUCCAUGUGCAGGUGACUAUCUUGAUAAAAGGAACUGCAAGUGAAGCUGGAAGCAUCUGUGCUCCUGGUCCGUUCAGUUUCCCAUGGAAUGAAUUAAAGUCGGAAAAAUUUCUACUGUUGGGAAUUCAACAGUUGGGCAAGCUUGUUGGCUGUAAAGUCAAACAGAUCAGAUGAUCAAGAAGUGCAGGCUGCUUGCAUGGAAAUCAUGUACUACUUUUUUGGUGAAUAAUUUCUUUGGCAAUAUGUUUUCUUACUCGCAAUAUAUCAAUCUAGGAUGUGUGUUAAUUCGUGUACUCCUAAUUCUAAACAAAGGCUGAUGGGG